CAUCCGGCCACAACAUCCGGUUAGGAUCCACAUGCGGUCUCAAAGAUCUUCAUUCCUAAAAGAAUAUGAUUUACAAAUAGCGAUUCACAUCCGGGGCAAACACCAAGCUUUCGGCACAACAUAUGGGUCCCAUAAUGGGCGAGUUUUUUUGGCGCGUUUUUUUGGCGCCUCAUUGAUAAACGCCCAAUUGGCUAAGUUUGUCCAUUUAAGGGGAGAGUACCCUAUAGCUGAUACCAGUCUUGAGAAUGGUCCUUGGGGACCGAAACGCAUAGAAUACACUGGUAUCACGGCUCAGGUUCAUUUGGACAUUGUUAUUAUCCUAUCCUACACUGAAUGAAUUUUGAUACCAUCCGAUACUGAAUAACCUCAUUUGGAGGAAGAACACCACUAGAGGCUAAAAACCACUAGAUCACAGCAAUUUACAGCAAAUUCACAGACAAUUCACAGAUUAAGGAUCUACAAUAGAUAACCUAAAUUUACUCAUUUGAAGAUAUUAUAUACUCUCAGAGUUUUCACAUUUUAGGUGUAUACCUUUUUUCAAUUAUGGCCACAUUUUUGGAUUUUUAAUAUUUUUAAUCACAUUUUGAAUUUUUUUGCAUUUUUAUUUAUUUUUUAUUCAUCAUAAUUUUUUACUUUUUUACUCUUUCACUUUUUUACUUUUUGGAUUUUUUAAUUUUUGGUAACGACACUUAUCACAGACACAUUCACAUUAAAUUUGGAUGUAUUGUGACUUCACAAUCCUUUGGAUACACCUCAACACAUAUCUUUGGACACCUGUUCUUCAGAGACCUCAGACUUAUUUGGAUACCUAUGCCCAAUCUUGGGCCCCAUCCCUUGACUUAAGUUCUAAAGGAUAAUAGGCUACAUCUGAUUAUGUCAUACUGACUGUAUGGCAAGGCUUUUAUAUAUAUUUUUGCUUUUUGUAUACUAGUUUUAGGACUUGUUACAUUGUAUUUUUAGAAUAAAGAUUGCAAUACUUUUUA